GCAACGCAAGGGUGAGGGCAGCACGGCCUGGUGGUUACUGCACAAUACCAGCAUCAUUACUCUCGGUAUCACAUUUUCCCAGAACCGCUUACGGCAUCCAAUAUCUGCUAGAGGAAUACAAGGUUCUUUACAAAAAAUCAACCAGAUAUGUCCAACUCCAAGUACCUGAUGCAGCCACCUGACAGUAUGACACAUUGUGAUGAGAAUUACAACAGCCUUCCUCUCAGAGUGUGGAUUCAGCUUGGUUAUGUAUACUUUGCACCAAGGUGGAUGCCAAGCUAGUACCAUCUCCGACUACACUCAUAAAAAGACACCAGCUAAGAAUUGAGGAACAAAAGCACUGAUGUUGCAACCUGCUGUGUCUCCAAAAUGCCAACGACCGUGAAGGACCAUAGACUACAACAGUCUUCCUAUCUACACCUGGAUCCAGCAUGGCAUGUGUACUUGGCAUUCCAGUGGACAACAGGCAAAUAACACUUCAAAGGCUGUUUGUGCACAGAAACAACCUGAGAAGACCGCCCAUACACCUGGUGAUAGCAGAAGACCAAGAUCAGCUCAGAGCAGCAACCCCACGAAGACCAUCAAUUACAACAGUCUUCCUCUGCAUGAGCGCAUUCUACAUGGUGUUUAUAUAUGACAUUCUGGUGGACAGCAGAGAAAUAACAUCUGAAAAGUCCCUGCCAGUGCAGAAACCACCUGGGGCAUGUACACCUAAGAAGUCCACCCAUACACCUGCUGAUGGCAGAAAACCACAAGCCAGUCAGAACUAUGGCUCAGCAAAGAAGAUCGACUAAAACAGUCUCUCUCUCCUUUAACUUAUCCACUAUGGUGUCUUUACAUAGCGGUCAGGUGAACAUGAGGAGGCUAGGAGUAGAAAAUUAGAACAUUGUAUCUACAAAGCGGUGAACCUGGCGAUACUAUACACCAUCACCCAUCAAUAAAAUGCUAUUAUUUUUAAGCCUAACCGGAAAGGGAGCGGAUCGGUUGUAAAUUCAUGUAUGAGGAGAGAGUAAAGGACACUGAUUUUAUGGUUGAUUUUAUGCAAGGAAACACAGAGGUUUUCAAAGUUGGUGAGUGGACGA